GACGAACGCUGGCGGCGUGCUUAACACAUGCAAGUCGAACGGAAAGGCCCUGCUUUUGUGGGGUGCUCGAGUGGCGAACGGGUGAGUAACACGUGAGUAACCUGCCCUUGACUUUGGGAUAACUUCAGGAAACUGGGGCUACUACCGUAUAGGAGCUCCUGCUGCAUGGUGGGGGUUGGAAAGUUUCGGCGGUUGGGGAUGGACUCGCGGCUUAUCAGCUUGUUGGUGGGGUAGUGGCUUACCAAGGCUUUGACGGGUAGCCGGCCUGAGAGGGUGACCGGCCACAUUGGGACUGAGAUACGGCCCAGACUCCUACGGGAGGCAGCAGUGGGGAAUAUUGCACAAUGGGCGGAAGCCUGAUGCAGCAACGCCGCGUGCGGGAUGACGGCCUUCGGGUUGUAAACCGCUUUCGCCUGUGACGAAGCGUGAGUGACGGUAAUGGGUAAAGAAGCACCGGCUAACUACGUG
rnacentral:rRNA from 1 species